UACGUAGGGUGCGAGCGUUGUCCGGAAUUACUGGGCGUAAAGAGCUCGUAGGCGGUUCGUUAUGUCGGAUGUGAAAGCCCUUGGCUUAACCGAGGAAGUGCAUCCGAAACUGGCGAGCUAGAGUACGAAAGAGGAUCGCGGAAUUCCCGGUGUAGAGGUGAAAUUCGUAGAUAUCGGGAGGAACACCGGUGGCGAAGGCGGCGAUCUGGGUCGAUACUGACGCUGAGGUGCGAAAGCGUGGGGAGCAAACAGG
rnacentral:rRNA from 1 species